GUGCAUAUGACCUAGCCACUAGCUAGAAAGUUGCUGGCACGUUCUUCCAGUGCAAAAGAUGUGCCACAGGUGUCAUAUCCUCAGAGUUAAGCAAGUGAGUAGCUGGGCUCAGCUGCAGUGAAUUAGCCUCUCAGCUCACAAAACAGUAAGCUCUGAAAGAUUUAUCCCUAGAUUUGGAGUUGGAUUUAGAGUGAGGUCCACUAUGGAAUAAGGAGGGAGCAGUUAUAGGCAGCAAGUUUCUGGAUUUUCUUUAUUUGAGCUCCAGUUAAUGACUCACCUAAGCCACCUUUAGUGCAUGUUUGAAAGGAUGGGUCAGUUUUCAGCACUGUGUUAUGUGACUCGGUUAAAGGCAGAAUUUGGGCCAACAUGGCCCAUGAAUAGAGCAAGAUGUGUGACUCUUAGAAUCUAUUAACUACGUUCUAGAACCAAUUAAUGAGGCUAGCAGUUCUUAAGGAAAAAGAACAGAAAUUAAGCUGAGGUAUAUUAUUAAUAUCCAACAAAAACUAUCCCUACAUACAUGUUAGUUGUGGAGGUCUUUUCUUCCAUGAAUAUUAGACUCAGAAACAGUUUCUUGGUUUGCAAGAGUGAAUUUUGCUGAAAUUGCUAUUUUUUAGCUUGGCUUGUUUAGUGUUUUGUUUAUGGUCAGUACAAGUACCUAUGAAAAAUGAAAUUAAAAAUAUUUCUGCUGGUCUGGAGGAGGCGCAUUAGCAUUGUAGAGACUUUGAUUUUAAAACAUCUGUGAUUCUCUGUGAUUCCUAUAGACUAUAUCCAGAUUAUUGUUCCCUUAACAUCUUGCCUGUUUUGGAUCCCUCUUUCAGGCACCAUUUUCUUCUUGCAGUGUUUGGUUUGGACUGCAAUUGUCCAAAAUCCUCAAGUGACUAUUUUGGGGAAAGAAGAAGAACUUAACAUCUGUGAGAUUCCUCUCUGCAUCACCUAUGGACUGAGGAAGAAAAGUCUCCAUGCAAGUGUUUCAUAUCCACUAAAUAUAAAUUAGUUUCAUGCCAGAACAUCUUGAGGUAUAUAUGUAUACGAACAUGUAUUUUGAGAUGUUGUUUUGGCACGAGAGCUACUCUAAGCAAUUAUUUCCUUUCUUCAGAUAUUAACAAGUAAAAUACAAGAGAUGACUAAUGGAAGUUUGUUUGUUAUAGCCCCCAGCAACUAUUUCUGAUAUCUCU
rnacentral:lncRNA from 1 species